CUGAUGCCCAGGUCGGAGUCACCGUGCACUGGCUUCUAGUCCCAGGGACCGGCAAGGAGUUGGGGACCCAGCGCUGGCCCAAGGCUGUGUGUGGCAGGACUCACUGAAGCGGUUAAGGAGACUGGAAGCGUGGCAAGUGUAUUUUCAAACAUCCCUUGCCCUAUAAUUUCUACUUUGGAUUCUGCUGUGAGAAGCAUCCUGUGACAUUUUGAGAAGAGUAGAAGCAAACGCCUUGACUGCUCUGGAGACGAUGGAAGCUGAGCCCAAGUAGACUACUGCCCCGUUCUUCAGGCUAUACGAUGGAUGGCUGACUUGCUUUUGAGUUGUAUCUGACUCACUGUACCAUGGCCUGUGGUCUUCAAUGCCGCUGAGUGCUGCCCUGACGACCUUGUGCUCCCCCGACCCUCUGAGGAGUUGAAAUGACAGGAAGUGAAGCAAGAUUGGCAGAGACUUUCUACAGGUGCUUCAGGCUUGUGAAGCAGAAGUAGAAGGGAAUUACGAAAAAAGUCAAAGAAAAAUAAAGGAAACAAUCAAAGGCGGACAAGUGAGAGGAAUCACCCUGGAGAGACUUGCAUGAUUGAGUGUGUAUUGGAGGGAGAGUGGGGGAGAGAGCUCCACAUCCUGAGAGGCAAAGCUCUAAGUCAAAUUCUUGGAAAGCACCCUAGAAGGAAGCUCUUCUCCUAGAACUCAGCAAAAACAGGCAGGCACAGCAGCCACUGCACUGCGAUUUUUGCCUCCCCAGGGUCAAUAUUUUCAUCAGUUGCCAAUAACAACUUAGAGCUGUGUGGUCUAUGGCCCAUGAAGAGUUGACGAGAAAUUAAAAGGCAUUGUUCCUUUCCAAAUGCUUUCCAAUUCUAUCUGAAAAACAGUUCCCCUCCUUUCUUUGAUGAGUACCAUCUUUUAUAGGUGAUGUUUUGUUUAGGUUAAUUUCCAGAGCAGCCUUAGCAAAUUCAGUCCCUUGCCUAAUCCCUUGCUCUUAGUGUCAGUAAAUACCUGUUGAAAAAAAUUCAGUGAAUGAAUAAGGAUGA